AACGAACGUUAGCGGCGCGCCUAACACAUGCAAGUCGCACGAGAAAGGGCUUCGGCCCCAGUAAAGUGGCGCACGGGUGAGUAACACGUGGGUAACCUUCCCUCUGGCGGGGGAUAACCUUCCGAAAGGAGGGCUAAUACCGCAUGAGACCACGGGGUGUAAUUCCCUGAGGUCGAAGCAGGCCUCUAUAUAUAAGCUUGCACCAGAGGAUGGGCCCGCGGCCCAUCAGGUAGUUGGCGGGGUAAUGGCCCACCAAGCCUAAGACGGGUAGCUGGUCUGAGAGGAUGAUCAGCCACACUGGAACUGAGACACGGUCCAGACUCCUACGGGAGGCAGCAGUGGGGAAUCUGGCGCAAUGGACGAAAGUCUGAUGCAGCGACGCCGCGUGGGUGAUGAAGGCCUUCGGGUUGUAAAGCCCUGUGGGGAGGGAUGAAUAAGUGCAGGCUAAUACCCUGCAUGAUGACGGUACCUCCUUAGCAAGCACCGGCUAACUCUGUGCCAGCAGCCGCAGUAACAC
rnacentral:rRNA from 1 species